CCAAAGCCAUAUCACCCUAUACAGCCCAAGAGUGGUUACCCACUGAAGCCAAGCAGGGCUAAGCCUGAUCAGUACCUGGAUGAAAGACCACAAGGAAUAACUAGGUUGCUGAUUGAU
rnacentral:rRNA from 1 species